rnacentral:lncRNA from 1 species
AAGUUCUAUAGUGAAAAAAAAAAAUGAAAGAAGAUAGAACCGGGUCGCCCCGACCCAAUCCAGUCCUCUUCUAGAUCAAGCAUAUAGUUCGUUCUAGAUUGGACCCAUCAAACCAGCUAGCCCACUUUAGAAUCCGCUUGAACAAUUCUGGGCUUUCCUCUUCAUUGGGUCAAACCCAGUAGUUUGGUAAAUUUUUUAGUUUUUUUUGCUUGCUUGAUUAUUUCCUUCUAAU